CGGGACGGGUGAGUAAUGUCUGGGAAACUGCCUGAUGGAGGGGGAUAACUACUGGAAACGGUAGCUAAUACCGCAUAACGUCGCAAGACCAAAGAGGGGACCUUCGGGCCUCUUGCCAUCGGAUGUGCCCAGAUGGGAUUAGCUAGUAGGUGGGGUAACGGCUCACCUAGGCGACGAUCCCUAGCUGGUCUGAGAGGAUGACCAGCCACACUGGAACUGAGGCACGGUCCAG
rnacentral:rRNA from 1 species